rnacentral:rRNA from 1 species
UACGUAGGGUGCGAGCGUUAAUCGGAAUUACUGGGCGUAAAGCGUGCGCAGGCGGUUUGUUAAGUCCGCUGUGAAAGCCCCGGGCUCAACCUGGGAAUGGCGGUGGAAACAGGCGAGCUAGAGUGUGGCAGAGGGGGGUGGAAUUCCACGUGUAGCAGUGAAAUGCGUAGAGAUGUGGAGGAACACCGAUGGCGAAGGCAGCCCCCUGGGCUAACACUGACGCUCAGGCACGAAAGCGUGGGGAGCAAACAGG